CCGGUGGUAGCUCAAAGGGUAGAGCUCUAUGAUGAAAUAAAUCCUGUGCGGGGUUUUGACAGCAAUUAUUAUCGUUUGCGCUCCUAACGCAGAGGUUGUUGGUUCGAGUCCAACCCACCGGG
rnacentral:tRNA from 1 species